rnacentral:rRNA from 1 species
UACGUAGGGGUGCAAGCGUUUAAUCGGAAUUACUGGGCGUAAAGCGUGCGCAGGCGGCUUUGCAAGACAGAUGUGAAAUCCCCGGGCUCAACCUCGGAACUGCCUUUGUGACUGCAUGGCUAGAGUUUGGCAGAGGGGGGUAGAAUUCCACGUGUAGCAGUGAAAUGCGUAGAUAUGUGGAGGAACACCGAUGGCGAAGGCAGCCCCCUGGGUCAAGACUGACGCUCAUGCACGAAAGCGUGGGGAGCAAACAGG